UCUGGAGGGGAAACGAAAAGAAAUUAAGCAUUUGCAUGGUAAUCGAGUGACUUUUAAGAAAUAGAGGAGUUCACAGAGAGAACUACACGCAGUUGGUUUCUUCAGGUUCAGAUAUGGAAAAUCUUUUGCAAUGUGUCUUGCCUA